rnacentral:rRNA from 1 species
UACAGAGGUGCCAAGCGUUUAGGCGGAAUCACUGGGCUUAAAGCGCGUGUAGGUGGGUCGUUAAGUGUCCGCGUGAAAUCCCACGGCUCAACCGUGGAACUGCCGGGCAUACUGGCGAUCUUGAGGCAUUCAGGGGCGAGUGGAAUUCCUGGUGUAGCGGUGGAAUGCGCAGAUAUCAGGAGGAACACCAAUAGCGAAGGCAGCUCGCUGGGACGUUACUGACACUGAGGCGCGAAAGCGUGGGGAGCGAACAGG